rnacentral:rRNA from 1 species
CAGCAGCCGCGGUAAUACGUAGGUGGCAAGCGUUAAUCGGAAUUACUGGGCGUAAAGCGUGCGCAGGCGGUUGUGUAAGACAGGUGUGAAAUCCCCGGGCUUAACCUGGGAACUGCGCUUGUGACUGCACAGCUAGAGUAUGGCAGAGGGGGGUGGAAUUCCACGUGUAGCAGUGAAAUGCGUAGAGAUGUGGAGGAACACCGAUGGCGAAGGCAGCCCCCUGGGCCAAUACUGACGCUCAUGCACGAAAGCGUGGGGAGCAAACAGGAUUAGAUACCCCGGUAGUCCCGUCUCUUAUACA